GAUGAACGCUGGCGGCGUGCCCAAUACAUGCAAGUCGAGCGAACGGACGAGAAGCUUGCUUCUCUGAUGUUAGCGGCGGACGGGUGAGUAACACGUGGAUAACCUACCUAUAAGACUGGGAUAACUUCGGGAAACCGGAGCUAAUACCGGAUAAUAUUUUGAACCGCAUGGUUCAAAAGUGAAAGACGGUCUUGCUGUCACUUAUAGAUGGAUCCGCGCUGCAUUAGCUAGUUGGUAAGGUAACGGCUUACCAAGGCAACGAUGCAUAGCCGACCUGAGAGGGUGAUCGGCCACACUGGAACUGAGACACGGUCCAGACUCCUACGGGAGGCAGCAGUAGGGAAUCUUCCGCAAUGGGCGAAAGCCUGACGGAGCAACGCCGCGUGAGUGAUGAAGGUCUUCGGAUCGUAAAACUCUGUUAUUAGGGAAGAACAUAUGUGUAAGUAACUGUGCACAUCUUGACGGUACCUAAUCAGAAAGCCACGGCUAACUACGUGCCAGCAGCCGCGGUAAUACGUAGGUGGCAAGCGUUAUCCGGAAUUAUUGGGCGUAAAGCGCGCGUAGGCGGUUUCUUAAGUCUGAUGUGAAAGCCCACGGCUCAACCGUGGAGGGUCAUUGGAAACUGGAAAACUUGAGUGCAGAAGAGGAAAGUGGAAUUCCAUGUGUGGCGGUGAAAUGCGCAGAGAUAUGGAGGAACACCAGUGGCGAAGGCGACUUUCUGGUCUGUAACUGACGCUGAUGUGCGAAAGCGUGGGGAUCAAACAGGAUUAGAUACCCUGGUAGUCCACGCCGUAAACGAUGAGUGCUAAGUGUUAGGGGGUUUCCGCCCCUUAGUGCUGCAGCUAACGCAUUAAGCACUCCGCCUGGGGAGUACGACCGCAAGGUUGAAACUCGAAGGAAUUGACGGGGACCCGCACAAGCGGUGGAGCAUGUGGUUUAAUUCGAAGCAACGCGAAGAACCUUACCAAAUCUUGACAUCCUUUGACAACUCUAGAGAUAGAGCCUUCCCCUUCGGGGGGGCAAAGUGACAGGUGGUGCAUGGUUGUCGUCAGCUCGUGUCGUGAGAUGUUGGGUUAAGUCCCGCAACGAGCGCAACCCUUAAGCUUAGUUGCCAUCAUUAAGUUGGGCACUCUAAGUUGACUGCCGGUGACAAACCGGAGGAAGGUGGGGGUGACGUCAAAUCAUCAUGCCCCUUAUGAUUUGGGCUACACACGUGCUACAAUGGACAAUACAAAGGGCAGCGAAACCGCGAGGUCAAGCAAAUCCCAUAAAGUUGUUCUCAGUUCGGAUUGUAGUCUGCAACUCGACUACAUGAAGCUGGAAUCGCUAGUAAUCGUAGAUCAGCAUGCUACGGUGAAUACGUUCCCGGGUCU
rnacentral:rRNA from 1 species